rnacentral:rRNA from 1 species
UACGGAGGGUGCAAGCGUUAUCCGGAUUCACUGGUUAAAGGGUGCGUAGGUGGGCAGGUAAGUCAGUGGUGAAAUCUCCGGGCUUAACCGGAAACUGCCAUUGAUACUAUCUGUCUUGAAUACCGUGGAGGUGAGCGGAAUAUGUCAUGGUAGCGGUGAAAUGCUUAGAUAUGACAUAGAACACCAAUUGCGAAGCAGCUCACUACGCGAAUAU